rnacentral:rRNA from 1 species
AUCAACUUUCGAUGGUAGGAUAGAGACCUACCAUGGUGGUGACGGGUGACGGAGAAUUAGGGUUCGAUUCCGGGGAGGGAGCCUGAGAAACGGCUACCACAUCCAAGGAUGGCAGCAGGCGCGCAAAUUACCCAAUCCCGACACGGGGAGGUAGUGACAAUAAAUAACAAUACGGGGUUCUUUUGGAUUUCGUAAUUGGAAUGAGUACAAUUUAAAUCUCUUAACGAGGAACAAUUGGAGGGCAAGUCUGGUGCCAGCAGCCGCGGUAAUUCCAGCUCCAAUAGCGUAUAUUAAAGUUGUUGCAGUUAAAAAGCUCGUAGUUGAAUUUCGGGGUUAGUAGGCUGGUCGUGCCUCAGGUAUGCACUGGUCUUACUGAUUCCUCCUUCCUGAUGAACCGUAAUGCCAUUAAUUUGGUGUUGCGGGGAGUCUGGACUGUUACUUUGAAAAAAUUAGAGUGUUUAAAGCAGGCUAACGCUUGAAUACAUUAGCAUGGAAUAACGAAAUAGGACGUUCGAUCUUAUUUUGUUGGUUUCUAAGAUUGACGUAAUGAUUAAUAGGGAUAGUUGGGGGCAUUAGUAUUCAAUUGUCAGAGGUGAAAUUCUUGGAUUUAUUGAAGACUAACUACUGCGAAAGCAUUUGCCAAGGAUGUUUUCAUUAAUCAAGAACGAAAGUUAGGGGAUCGAAGACGAUCAGAUACCGUCGUAGUCUUAACCAUAAACUAUGCCGACUAGGGAUCGGAUGAUGUUAAUUUUUUAAUGACUCAUUCGGCGCCUUACGGGAAACCAAAGUGUUUGGGUUC